rnacentral:rRNA from 1 species
GACGAACGCUGGCGGCGUGCCUAAUACAUGCAAGUCGAACGCAGUGGGGACGGGUACGUAACACGUGGGUAACCUCCCAUCAGAGGGGAUAACCCUUGGAAACAGGUGCUAAACCGAUACGGAUUGAUGGACCCUCGGUGCAUUAGCUCGUUGGUGAGGUAACUGCUCCCCAAGGCCACGAUGCAUCGCCGUGCUGAGAGUGUGAUCGGCCACACUUGGACUGAGACACGGCCCAGACUACUACGGUAGGCAGCAGUAGGGAAUAUUGGGCAAUGGACGAAAGUCUGACCGAGCAAAGCCGCGUGAGUGAAGAAGGUUUUCGGAUCGUAAAGUUCUGUUGGCGGAGAAGCGGUACCUAACCAGAAAGCAACGGCUAACUACGUGCCAGCAGCCGCGGUAAUUC